AGAGUUUGAUCCUGGCUCAGAACGAACGCUGGCGGCAGGCUUAACACAUGCAAGUCGAACGCGUGUAGCAAUACACGAGUGGCGCACGGGUGAGUAACGCGUGGAUAUCUGCCUUUUGGUUCGGAAUAACCCCGGGAAACUGGGGCUAAUACCGGAUGGUUCCUACGGGAUAAAGAUUUAUCGCCAAAAGAUGAGUCCGCGUACGAUUAGCUAGUUGGUGAGGUAAUGGCUCACCAAGGCGACGAUCGUUAGCUGGUCUGAGAGGACGAUCAGCCACACUGGGACUGAGACACGGCCCAGACUCCUACGGGAGGCAGCAGUGGGGAAUAUUGGACAAUGGGGGCAACCCUGAUCCAGCCAUGCCGCGUGAGUGAUGAAGGCCUUCGGGUUGUAAAGCUCUUUUGGCGGGGACGAUGAUGACGGUACCCGCAGAAUAAGCCCCGGCUAACUUCGCGCCAGCAGCCGCGGUAAGACGAAGGGGGCUAGCGUUGUUCGGAAUUACUGGGCGUAAAGCGAGUGUAGGUGGUUGUCCAAGUUGGAUGUGAAAGCCUUGAGCUCAACUCAAGAAAUGCAUUCAGGACUGGGCGACUAGAGGACCGGAGAGGAUAGUGGAAUUCCCAGUGUAGUGGUGAAAUACGUAGAGAUUGGGAAGAACACCAGUGGCGAAGGCGGCUAUCUGGACGGUUUCUGACACUAAGACUCGAAAGCGUGGGGAGCAAACAGGAUUAGAUACCCUAGUAGUCC
rnacentral:rRNA from 1 species